UACGUAGGGGGCAAGCGUUGUCCGGAUUUAUUGGGCGUAAAGCGCACGCAGGCGGUCUUUUACGUUUUGAGUGACAGGUGGUGGCUUAACUGCCACAGGCCUCGAAAAUACGGGAAGACUUGAGGACUUCAGAGGGAUGCGGAAUUCCAGGGUGGAGCGGUGAAAUGCGUAGAGAUCUGGAAAGAACACCAAAGGCGAAGGCAGCAUCCUGGGGAAAGGCACG
rnacentral:rRNA from 1 species